AGUGAACGCUGGCGGUAGGCCUAACACAUGCAAGUCGAACGGCAGCACAGUAAGAGCUUGCUCUUACGGGUGGCGAGUGGCGGACGGGUGAGGAAUACAUCGGAAUCUACUUUUUCGUGGGGGAUAACGUAGGGAAACUUACGCUAAUACCUCAUACGACCUACGGGUGAAAGCAGGGGAUCUUCGGACCUUGCGCGAUUGAAUGAGCCGAUGUCGGAUUAGCUAGUUGGCGGGGUAAAGGCCCACCAAGGCGACGAUCCGUAGCUGGUCUGAGAGGAUGAUCAGCCACACUGGAACUGAGACACGGUCCAGACUCCUACGGGAGGCAGCAGUAGGGAAUAUUGGACAAUGGGCGCAAGCCUGAUCCAGCAAUACCGCGUGAGUGAAGAAGGCCUUCGGGUUGUAAAGCCCUUUUGUUGGGAAAGAAAAGCAGCAGGUUAAUACCCCGCUGUUCUGACGGUACCCAAAGAAUAAGCACCGGCUAACUUCGUG
rnacentral:rRNA from 1 species